rnacentral:rRNA from 1 species
UGAGGAAUAUUGGGUCAAUGGGCGGAAGCCUGAACCAGCCAUGCCGCGUGAAGGACUAAGGCCCUAUGGGUCGUAAACUUCUUUAGACGCAGAGCAAUAAGGGUCUCGUGAGAUCCGAUGAGAGUAUGCGUAGAAUAAGCAUCGGCUAACUCCGUGCCAGCAGCCGCGGUAAUACGGGGGAUGCGAGCGUUAUCCGGAUUUAUUGGGUUUAAAGGGUGCGUAGGCGGAAGUGCAAGUCAGCGGUGAAAUCCCCGCGCUCAACGCGGGAGUUGCCGUUGAUACUGUACAUCUGGAAUGCUCUUGCCGUGGGAGGAAUGAGUAGUGUAGCGGUGAAAUGCAUAGAUAUUACUCAGAACACCGAUUGCGAAGGCAUCUCACGAAGGGGCGAUUGACGCUGAGGCACGAAAGCGUGGGUAUCGAACA